rnacentral:rRNA from 1 species
AGCGAACGCUGGCGGCAGGCCUAACACAUGCAAGUCGAGCGGCCGUAGCAAUACGGCAGCGGCAGACGGGAGAGUAACACGUGGGAACGCGCCCUUCGGUUCGGGAUAACUCAGGGAAACUUGGGCUAAUACCGGAUACGCCCUUACGGGGAAAGAUUUAUUGCCGAAGGAACGGCCCGCGUCCGAUUAGCUUGUUGGUGAGGUAACGGCUCACCAAGGCGACGAUCGGUAGCUGGUCUGAGAGGAUGACCAGCCUCACUGGGACUGAGACACGGCCCAGACUCCUACGGGAGGCAGCAGGGGGGAAUAUUGGACAAUGGGCUCAAGCCUGAUCCAGCCAUGCCGCGUGGGUGAUGAAGGCCCUAGGGUUGUAAAGCCCUUUCAGCGGGGAAGAUAAUGACGGUACCCGCAGAAGAAGCCCCGGCUAACUUCGUGCCAGCCGCCGCGGUAACAC